GCUCGGGUGGUGAAAUAGGUAGACACAAGAGACUUAAAAUCUCUCGCCGAAAGGUGUACCGGUUCGAUUCCGGUCCCGAGCACCA
rnacentral:tRNA from 1 species